UACUACUGAAAUGUGCCCUAGUGUACCUCAGCAAGUACUGGGUGGAACUAAAUCACACAAAAGGUUGAAUCAAACUUUUUUAUCAUAAAAGAGAUUGAUUCAACCUUUUGUUUGAUAUAGUUUGACCCAGUACUUUCUGAGAUACACUAGGGCAUAUUUC